rfam:Oryza glumipatula chromosome 7, whole genome shotgun sequence.
AAAAAGGUAAACUCUGAGUUUCCAUGUCAACGUUUGACUAUCCGUUUUAUAUGAAAUUUUUUUAUAAUUAAUAUUUUUAUUAUUGUUAGAUGAUAAAAUAUGAUUAAUAAUUUAUGCGUGACUUAUAUUUUUAAUUUUUUUCAUAAUUUUUUUAAAGAAAACGGACGGUCAAACGUUGGACACGGAAAUCAAGGUUUGUCUUUCUU